CAGUAAGAUAACUCAGAACACUAACUAACAGCUAAACUACUAAGGUAACUCAGGACACUAACUAACAGCUAAACUACUAAGGUAACUCAGGACACUAACUAACAGCUAAACUACAAACAGUAAGUUAACCUAGACUCAGGACACUAACUAACAGCUAAACUACUAAGGUAACUCAGGACACAAACUAACAGCUAAACUAUUAAGGUAACUCAUGACACUAACUAACAGCUAAACUACUAAGGUAACUCAGGACACUAACUAACAGCUAAACUACUAAGGUAACUCAGGACACUAACUAACAGCUAAACUACUAAGGUAACUCAGGACACUAACUAACAGCUAAACUACUAAGGUAACUCAGGACACUAACUAACAGCUAAACUACUAAGGUAACUCAGGACACUAACUAACAGCUAAACUACUAAGGUAACUCAAGACACUAACUAAAAGCUAAACUACUACGGUAACUCUAACUCCUGACCAAUGAUGUGGUCUGUGGAGCCUAUUCUUUCUGAGGAUAGUAUCCACUGUGGUCUUUCACUUUGUUGGACAUCAUGAUCAAACUAACGGCACAAAACCAAACUAGCGUGAGGCUACUGAACUCCUACAGCACGGUGUGAACCCCAAUCUCUGCCGGGACUCUCUCUCCUUACCUAAUUACGGUCCUAUUCUCUGAGGAUAUCCUCUGUCUUGUCAUUACGUUGACCGUGUCUACGUUCUGAAUAUUUCAGUUUUUCGUCCCGGCUAAUAAGAUGCGAAUGUUUGUUUGUUUGUGUUUUUAUGAAUAUUCAACACAAUGUCAUUUUAACUGCCCUCUGUCUAUUAUAAUUUCACAAAACAACGAAUGAAACUCAUAUCGAUCCCUCAUUUCCCCCACAGCUAAAGGCUGGAGUUAUGAAUACCGUGGGCAUUCCCAAGACAAAGUCAAGGCCCCUGGACGAGUCUCCAUCCCGUUGCUGUGAUGAAGUCUGUCUUUACUGACCAGCUGCUCUUUCUGUCUCAUUUAUACUCCACUGUGCUGAAUGCUUUGUUACCAUGUUAGUUUGUCUUAGAUGUGAGUCAUAUUUUUCAUAUCGUGCAAAAUUAUUUUUAUUAAUAAAAAUUGAAAAAA
ensembl:lncRNA